rnacentral:ncRNA from 1 species
GAAUGGCUCAUUAGAGCAGAUGUCACUUAUUCGAAAAGUCCUUGUGGAUGACUGCUAGAAUUCUGGAGUUAAUAUACUGGUGUAGUUUGCUGUCUCUAAAUAACGCUGCAGAUCGGCGGCUUGUCCGCCGACAUUCCGAAAAAGUGUCUGCCCUAUUAACCUUGUGAUAGUUUAUUAGUCUACCAUGGUUAUUACGGGUAAUGGAGAAUAACGAUUGGGAG